AAAACUGAGCUGAAUGGGAGAAUCUCUUAUCAUGGCGGCUGAUGACGUGUAUGCGGCAAUUCAUUACAACUGCUGUGCCUAGCACUAAAUGGGUUACAGAGUAUCUAUGAUCUAAAUGUCGGGAGUUCAAGCGAAAUUUUGCACUGUGGUCAAAGGAAAAGGAAUACAUGUAUCUACCUUUUAGCAUCCCUGAUCUCCCCCCAAAACUAGGAACAUUGUGCAAUAAUUGGAUACAUAACCUUGGAAAUGAAUCUUUUGUUUUUGAACGGCAUUUUGAGAAAGAGUCUUUUAAAGAGGAUAUCAGGGUAAGUACCAGUUAUAUUUGCUUUUUACUCAGUAAAUACUAAUAAUUCUUAAUGUGUAUAAUCAGAGUUUAUUUACAACAAACUUUUACUUAUAUAAUGAUUUUCUAAUUUAAUCUAUCCUUAUCCAGUGAACAUUUUGUACAGGCUAAAUAUGAAGGGAUGGGUAAACACUGCUUUUUAAAUAUUCAAAGUUAAAUUAAUAUCUAUUUAAGUUAAGAUAUUGGGAUACACACCAAAACCUAUUAAAAAGAAGAUGCAGUAACUAAAAUAUUUGAUGGCAGCAAGCCUUAAAGAAAUAAGAGAAAAUAGCUCAAAAAGAUGAGGAAAAGGAAAAGCAGGAUACAUCUAAUCCAUUUUCUUUUGGAAACCAAUGAAAACUCAUAUGCAGAACCUAUUGACCAACCUGGACUAUCAGCAUCUAAGGAAACAGCUCAAUGAAGACAUGAAUAGUGACAAAAAUAUCCCACUCUCAAUCCAUAUUGAAGAAUAAACCAACUUUGUGCAACAUAUACAGAUAGAAUUGCCCAGUCAUUGUCCAUCAUAUGUGCUAAGGAAUGUUCAAGUGAAGAAUGAAGAAGUGAAGAUAAUGAACAAUCCUGUAUAAAGAAUACAAAAUUAAAAGUUUAAGAAUUAA